rnacentral:rRNA from 1 species
GAUGAACGCUGGCGGCGUGCCUAAUACAUGCAAGUCGAGCGAACAGACGAGGAGCUUGCUCCUCUGACGUUAGCGGCGGACGGGUGAGUAACACGUGGAUAACCUACCUAUAAGACUGGGAUAACUUCGGGAAACCGGAGCUAAUACCGGAUAAUAUAUUGAACCGCAUGGUUCAAUAGUGAAAGACGGUUUUGCUGUCACUUAUAGAUUGAUCCGCGCUGCAUUAGCUAGUUGGUAAGGUAACGGCUUACCAAGGCAACGAUGCGUAGCCGACCUGAGAGGGUGAUCGGCCACACUGGAACUGAGACACGGUCCAGACUCCUACGGGAGUCAGCAGUAGGGAAUCUUCCGCAAUGGGCGAAAGCCUGACGGAGCAACGCCGCGUGAGUGAUGAAGGUCUUCGGAUCGUAAAACUCUGUUAUUAGGGAAGAACAAAUGUGUAAGUAACUAUGCACGUCUUGACGGUACCUAAUCAGAAAGCCACGGCUAACUACGUG